UUUGACCUGAUUGUUAUUUUGCUACAUGUUAGGAUGUCAUCAUCAAUAUCUUCUUCAUCCUUUGCUAAACGUGCGUUGGGUAUACCAUUUUGUUUUUGUGAGGAGUCAGCCACACUGAAACUUUCAACUACUGCAAAGAAUCCAGGACGACCCUUCUUAGGGUGUCCAAAGUACAAUACUAAGGGAUUACCAUAUUGCAGGUUUUUCAAGUGGGCAGAUAGUAAUGAGGACAAUGAGCUCCAACUUCGAGGAAGAACCAAUGACUUGCUAAGGAAGGACAGAGCUCGAUCAGAUACUCGAUGAUGUCCACAAGAGGGAGAUUGAUGUUAUGAAGAACGAGUUAGUGCUUCGAGAACAAGAAGCUGAAAUAAGGCGUUCACGCCAACUACUUCGGUUGUAUUGGGCUUUUGCCUUUCUAGUUGCAUGUUGGUUGUUGCUUGGUAGUAUUGGAGUUUUGGUUUUGUAUUGGACUAUGUAGUUGAUGUAGUUGAUGUAUGGAUAUUGAACAGAUUGUAAAACUGCCAGAACGUAUAGUUUGUAAAACUGUAAAACAGUGAUGUCAUGUAUAAGCAGUUUGUAAACAAUAUGGUUAGGUUAAUGUAUGAGCAGUUUGUAUGGAUAUUGAGUAUUUGUAAAGCAGUUUGGGUCGCAGUUUGUAAUGGAUAUUGAGCAGUUUUAGAAAUUGUUAUGCACAGUUUGU